UACGUAGGGUGCAAGCGUUGUCCGGAAUUAUUGGGCGUAAAGAGCUCGUAGGCGGUUUGUCGCGUCUGCUGUGAAAACUCGGGGCUUAACCCCGGGCCUGCAGUGGGUACGGGCAGACUAGAGUGCGGUAGGGGAGACUGGAAUUCCUGGUGUAGCGGUGAAAUGCGCAGAUAUCAGGAAGAACACCCGUGGCGAAGGCGGCUCUCUGGUACGUGACUGACGCUGAGACGCGAAAGCGUGGGGAGCAAACAGG
rnacentral:rRNA from 1 species